UGGGGAAUAUUGCGCAAUGGGCGAAAGCCUGACGCAGCGACGCCGCGUGUGGGAUGACGGCCUUCGGGUUGUAAACCACUGUCGGGAGGGACGAAUGCGCCGCAAGGCGAGUGACGGUACCUCCAAAGGAAGCACCGGCUAACUCCGUGCCAGCAGCCGCGGUAAUACGGAGGGUGCGAGCGUUGUCCGGAAUCACUGGGCGUAAAGGGCGCGUAGGCGGCCUGGUAAGUAGGGGGUGAAAUCCUGCGGCUUAACCGCAGGGCUGCCUUCUAAACUGUCAGGCUCGAGCACAGUAGAGGCAGGUGGAAUUCCCGGUGUAGCGGUGGAAUGCGUAGAGAUCGGGAAGAACAUCAGUGGCGAAGGCGGCCUGCUGGGCUGUUGCUGACGCUGAGGCGCGACAGCGUGGGGAGCAAACAGG
rnacentral:rRNA from 2 species